AAUAACUGAGGACAUGGAAAGGAGACGUGACCCAUGAGCUCCCCGCCCCCCAGCAAACUGGGGGCUGGCGAAUAAGCCAGAACUGCAAACAGUCCUGAUUGCUUUGAGCCCCCCGGGCAAACCGGGGGCCUGCGAAGAAGCAUUGAGUGCUUUGGGCACUGAUCCAUGAGAUGUCCUCAGUAUAAUCAGAGUGGUGGGAACGCAAGGAAAUGUCCUUGUGCUACUUCAGUAUAAUCAAAAUAAUGGUGGGAACUUUGUGCUGCUUUCGCGCUCAAGGACGAAGCACGGCAUGUUUUCAAGAAAGCCAAUUAUUGCUUGUAUAAUUAAUAAAAACAUAGGUUGCUGCUUUGGCAUUUCUGAAAUGUUAAGAAAACAAGUCUUAAAAUGUAAACCUAGAUAAUGCUUUAAUAAAAGCUGCCACAGCAGGACAGACGGCGCUGUUUUGCCUGAGCGAGCGGCAGCCCUCUACUGCUGUGCUUCGGUACAAUUCAUCUCGUGCGAUGAGCUUACUUUCGGCCCUGUCAUAAGAUAGACUACAACAUUUGGCGCCCGAACAGGAACCUGAAGUCCGACGACGAGUGAAAGGUACCCGCCACGCAACAUUGCAACAAGCUGCCGUGUUCUCCUUGAUGCUGCACAAGCUACAAAACAAAAAGGGGGAAAUGUAGUGGAAUAACUGAGGACAUGGAAAGGAGACGGGACCCAUGAGCCCCCACCCCCAGCAAACUGGGGGCUGGCAAAUAAGCCAGAACUGCAAACAGUCCUGAUUGCUUUGAGCCCCCCGGGCAAACCGGGGGCCUGCGAAGAAGCAUUGAGUGCUUUGGGCACUGAUCCAUGAGAUGUCCUCAGUAUAAUCAGAGUGGUGGAAAUGUCCUUGUGCUACUUCAGUAUAAUCAAAAUAAUGGUGGGAACUUUGUGCUGCUUUCGCGCUCAAGGACGAAGCACGGCAUGUUUUCAAGAAAGCCAAUUAUUGCUUGUAUAAUUAAUAAAAACAUAGGUUGCUGCUUUGGCAUUUCUGAAAUGUUAAAAAAACAAGUCUUAAAAUGUAAACCUAGAUAAUGCUUUAAUAAAAGCUGCCACAGCAGGACAGACGGCGCUGUUUUGCCUGAGCGAGCGGCAGCCCUCUACUGCUGUGCUUCGGCACAAUUCAUCUC